AAGGGUGAGGAACACGUGGGUUAUUUGCCCCUGAGUCUGGGAUAACCCCCCGAAAGGGGAGCUAAUACCGGAUAAGCUCACAGAGGCUUCGGCCUCAGGGAGAGAAGGAGGGGAUCUUCGGACCUUCCAUUCAGGGAUAAGCCUGCGCCCUAUUAGCUAGUUGGUGAGGUAAUGGCUCACCAAGGCAAUGAUGGGUAGCCGCGCUGAGAGGCUGACCGGCCACAUUGGGACUGAGACACUGCCCAAACUCC
rnacentral:rRNA from 1 species